GUGACAGGCCUGGGGACUAGCAGCCACAAUGCACACAGUUAGGAAAACGUUAAGGAGGAGGUCUCCCCUCAAAGGCAAACCCACCACUCCCAGCCGACCCAGCGUUCUCAUUACAAGUCACACAGCCCCUCCCUGGGGCUCCAGUACCCAGAAUCCCAUGACUGAAAUACAGGACGGUGACUGAAGACAUCGAGAAGGAAGCAAUCCUCCCAUCUACAGUCAAAAGUGGAGGCAAGGUCCCGAUGGAAGAUUUGAUCUUGCAUAGAUAGACCAAGGUUUGAAUAUUCACUCAUCUGCUUCUGGUGUGACCUUGUAUGACAAGUCACUCAGCCUCUUGUGACAUCUGUGUGAAGAAUGAUAACGCCUAUGUAAUAGGGUUGCUGUGAGAAUUAAGCUGCUUUGAAAUUAUCAGUGGAACCCAUUAGUGCAAGACUGCUUUAUCUGGUGGCUAAAAAUGACCAAGACCAAGCUCUGAGGGGCUGGGCUGCAGCAUAUUUGAAUGCUGGGGGGCUCUGCAGAGCGGUCAGAAGCUGAUGCCCCUGACUAGGGAGAUGGUGUGUUCAAGGUGCUAAACCAGAAAGACACCUGGAAGCUGACAUAGAUUUCUACAGCCAAAAAGGGAGGACUCUGCAGCUUUCUCUGGAAGCCAAUUUGUAAAAGGACAGAUUCUUGGAAUGACCACUGCCUGGUUUACCUGCUUACAACAAGCUCGGUUUGAGGAGCAGUCUGAUGACGAUCAGUAGACUUUAGUUCCUCUCUGCAUAUGGCCAACACUUCAGAGCUUCGCCUGGGAAGCCCUCAGGGUUUACUGAUUUCUCGCUGAUCCUUCGUGAAGGUCCUUAAAAGAUGACAGUGCCACUUUCACAAAAAUGUGGAAGCCGACUUCCCCUUGUAAAUACCCAGUGAUUGCCAGCAAGCAGGCCACUGCAACUGGAGGUUUCUGCGGAACACAGUUUGAAAACCCCUGCUUCACCCACCGAAGAUGAGGAAGAUGGUGUUUCCUAUACGCCUUGUGCCACCCUUGGGGCUGAUGGUGAAAACACGACCUCCUUAAUCCUCAUGACCGUCUUCUUAGGAGGGUGUUACUGACCCCAUUUUAGACGUGGGGAAAUUCCUGCUGAGGGACGUCAAGUAAAUUGCCACAAGUCACCCAGCAAGUGAGAAGUGGGACUAUGACUUGCACCCUGUCUUCUGUGGCUCGUGCUCCUUGAGAGCAAGGCCAUGACUCAGUCUUCCUGGGACCUCCACCCAGCACCGAGCCCAGGGCUGACAUGAGGAAGGCGCUCACUAAAUGAUAUGGAGCUGAACUGGGCUGAAGCAGGGCUGAGAGGAGCUAACUCACGGGUCCAGAAUGGGAGCACAGAGCUGCCAGAAUUGAGGGCAACCGUGGCUGCCCCAGCGAGGCGUCCAGCAGGGGCUCCAGCAGGCCCGAGGACUUCAAGAGGGAACAAUCAACCUGGUCACUUCCCUAUGCAGACUGCUUCCUGCCUCAAAAACAGGUGAAUAUCCAGCCUGGAAAGCACUUCAGCCUUGAAAUAUGCAAACACCCACUCAAUCUCUGGUCUCUGUUUCUCAAUGUCAGAUUUAGUUGAUUGUGCAAAGCACACAAACCUUCCACCAUUUUGAUAAUCAAUAAAUUGCUCUGGUAGAACACUUGCAAGGGGUUCUCUUGCUCUGUGUCUCUACUCUCUGACCAUUGAUUUUUUAGGUCAUAAAGAGGGAGGGAAACAGAGAAAGAGCUUAAGAAAUUAUUUUUCAUUCUCAAACUGGGAGCCAAGUAAUUUAUCCUAUUAAUUGUUCUGGAACAUUUCAUUCUGCCCUUUCUCUUCCAACACAACAACCUCUUGUCACAAAUCACUCAUUGUGAUUACACGCCAAAUUCCCAGCUUGGCCAUUAGUGUCAAAUAAUAGACUAUCAAUAGACUUAUAUUAAUUGCACAUUUAUGGGAUAGGCCAAGAAUCCUGACUGGGUCUCUGCAGGUCUGCUGUAGAAAUGAGUCUGGAGAUGGAACGGACUGUCUCUUGACUCGGAGCCAGAUAUCUGAUGGAUGACUUUAGCAGACAGUCAGCUUCUAAUCUUUGCUAGCAAAUGCAUCUCCACUAUCUACCCAUUGAUCUGAUAGCAAUGUUGAAAAAAGAACUCUCCUAAACUCAAAGUUUGAACAUUGGCUUUUUCAAAUCUUUGGACUGAUUGGAGAAAUAAAAAUGAAAUUUAUUUUGAAAGCAGCAAGUAUGAAUGGUCUGUGUGUGUACAUGUGUACUAGGUUUAUUAGAUUAAGAGAAGCAAGCAUAAACACACUUUGUUAAGAUACGCUAAUAUAUGCCCUCACCACCCACAACACACUUUUCCCCCAGUAUGAAACAUGAAAUAUAGUGUAAAUCACUCUGGAAAUGUGUGGUGGAAGGAAAAUGUACACUUAAAUGAAGAUAAUCAACACAUACUGAGUUCUAUUUUUCUAAAUGCUUGUGAAUCUUUUGCAUUUCUUCCAUAUAAUUCAGUAUCAGAGUUAAUGACAUAUCCUAGUUUCCUUUGGUACAGAAGCACCUCAAUUGCUGAAAAGUUUUGCUCCCUUCAAGACUGCUUAUCUGCUGCAAUAAUUACCAAUAAACCUCUCUGCACGAGAAAUAGCAGGGCUGAACGACUCUGUGAUGAAUAAAGAGAGUAGUCGGCUCCUCUUCAUUCAUCUUGAUAAUCUUCCUUGCUACGUAAACAGUAAGACACAUUGUCAAGAUUCAUGUUCAGGUCAAUUCUCAGCUCAACAUUGAUUGCAGAGAAAUUCUACCCAAUACACUGUUUUAUUAGAGCUGAAAGGCAACAACAGGAAAAUGGCAAAAGACCAUGGUAGUCUGAACUUGUAAGUGAAUGUGUGUGUGGGUGAGAGAGAGGAAUGGAAAGAAAGAGCAAUGGAUGUCUGUGGGAGCAGACAUAUCCAGCGGUGUGUCCAAUAAACACUCUUCUGAGAUUGGUCAACCCACUCGCUUUCAAUUGUGCUCCUCAGAAUCCGUGCUAACCUGAGGUAACAGACUCCGGGCAUAAAGAACAAUUCCAGAGCUAUGUUUCAAGGACUUCCUAUUUUAACAUCCUAAAACUUAACAAGUAUUAAAUCAACGUGACUACUGUAAGGCUACUGAAGGGCUGGGGUUAGGUAGUGACUCUAAAAAUAUCCGAGAAUUGAUAGGAUCAUAUUCCCAAACAAGUCCGGACUUCUCUCAGCUACGCCCAGUGAGAAGAAAAUCCUCAGUGUAGGAAAAUAAUUCACAGGCAGGCCCCUGGGAGACCCUGUGAUGGCUGAAACGUUUCCCUCCGGGGAUAGAUGUAAUGUGUUAAUGCUAGAGAACCAACCAGAACGGAUGAGAUCUGCCCGUCUGGUCCAAGCCCAGAGGAAACCAGACACUUCCCAAGGCUUCUUUCCCCUUAGGAUUGCAUCAGUCUCACUGUAUGGGCUUAUUUUUAAACAUUGGUUGAAAAUGCAAUAGCCCAGCUGUUCAACGUCACAACAGAAGGUCAAUUUUAUACAGUUGUUCUUCCUUGAAGAGCUUAAGUUAAGUGACCCAAAAGGCCAAUUUUUCCAACUAAUGAAGGAACUUGUUCCUGGAAAGUUGCCAUUUUGCUGUGAAACUUAUGUUUCCUCGUUUUACUAAUGCAAACGUUGAACUUUGGAAAUGUUAGUGUAUUUAAUUUUCAUAGUUUUGGGGCUUGGAUUACUAGGUAUAAGCACGUCUUUAUUAUUGUUAACAAUGAACUGAACCUGGAUAAUCCGCUGAUAAUUCCCAAAUUGCACAGAGCCCAAAUCUAGCCAACCAAAAUUCUUUUAAACAUGGUUUAAAAUCUCUUAAAAAUGGUCAGAAAUAGCAUCUCCCCUGUGAAACAGUCAAAAGAGUGGCCAUUGCAGAAUAGGACGGUGAAGAACGGAGAGACCCAACACAGAGCCGGGAGCCAGAUGCCCCUGGGUUCAAAUGCAAGCUCUGCCACUUCUUGGUUUAGCUGAGUGACCUUGCCUCAGUCUUCUGCUCUUUCAAACAGGGACGGAACUUACUCCGUAGGAUUGUUGUGAAAACUAGGUGAGUUCACGCGUAUAAAGUUUCUUAGAAAAGUGCGGCACGGUGUCUGCAGUCAGCUCAUCACAAAGUGACAGGCGCUCUUUUCGUGUUUGUUGAUCCUCACCACACUCCUGAGGGACUCACCGAGGGUGACAGCACGAGAAAGGCAGAGCACCAGUGUUUGCGGGUCGGCUCUCCUGCGCAGUCUCUGUCUAUAGCAGAUCUUUCAGUAGAAGAUCUCUUAAAUGACCUUCACUUAACUAACUUUCCAGAUCCAUCGACCCUGUAUUUACGCCGUCCGUGGGCGUGUUGAAUCCUUGCAGCUAGCAGACUGCUGCAAUACACAGACACACUUCUGCCCUCACCAGUUGAUGUGUGUGCUCACCAACAGUUGGUUGAGUUUGUUCCCAAACCUGUUUAUGACACUUGUACAUAUUAUAAUAAUUACAUAAUUUAAUUAUACACUAUGCAACCCAAUAAAAUAUUAGUGUG
ensembl:lncRNA